UUGUGCUCCAUUACAAUGAUGCCAGGAAACCAAUGAGUGGAGAUAACUCAGGAUCAGGAGAGGAUUUCUGCCACAGGAGGGAAGAAUUGAUGGCCACUCUCAGCAGAGAUGAUCUCAGGAUUGGGAAGAUCAAGCUUGAUUCAAGUCCUGCCUUGGAUACACACACUAGCUAUGUGACCCCUGUCAUGCUUUGCAUCACUCCUCUGAAGUCACAGUUGGGCACUGCAUUGAUCAGCAUUCUGAAGUCUUCUGUUGCUUUCCUUCGUACACCAUUGUGGUCAUCUUGUGAAGUGCCAUCUUGUUUCUGCUUUCUGUAGAGAUUAAUUUAAAGGUCUGUUGUGUAACAGACAAUGGUAGGUGUUGGGUGAGAUGCAAACAUUGGAUAGAACACAGUCCCUACCCUCAUAGAGUCUACAGUCUGGUAGAAGUGUAUGACACAUAUACAAAUAAGUAUAGUAAACAAUAAAGUAUGAUGAAUGCAUGAGAAUGAGAGGUAGAAAGCAAUCAUAUAUAAGAUGGAGGUGAGGUAGAAGCUUUGGGUUGGGGGGCAUCCUAUGGUACAUUUGUCCAGAUGGGCUGAUGUUCUAGCCUUCUGCUAAAGGAAAUGUGUGAACAGCAGCUACUGAUUGGUCCCAGUGUGUCCCUGUGAUGGGGCUGUGUUGAAGAUGAAUGGCAACUGAGAUAGGAAGAGGUGCCCACAUUGUGGGCUGUAGGAAUUGAGGAGAAACUGCCUUUGGCUUUUUUGGGACCCAGGCAAUGCCUGCGCUCCCAUGGACUUUCCUUGGGGAGAGGGGAUUUCACACACAUUGCAACCAGAGCAUGUAUUUGCCUAGACAAGUGUGAGACUGGACUUUAAAUCCCUGACUGCCUUUUCUGUUUUUGUGUUUCUUUUUCUGAAUCCAUAUCAUUGAACAGGGAUUCUGAGAAAUGGAGGGUCACAGUUCUGUCAGUAACUUUGUCAAUCUCAGAGGUCAGUAGCUGCUUGUCUAACAUGUGUAUUUCAUAAUGACUUCUUACAGGAAAAGACAACCUUGGACAGGAGGAUGCUAUAGCUCUAAGGAUUAAAAAAGCCCAGACUGUGCUUUGUCUUAUCAGAACAGCACAACCCUUAGACUUAAAGGAGGGGGAGGUACUUGCUUUGGUCCUUCCCCUCAAUCAUAGGCAUGAAAAGUUAUUAAGUUAAAAAUAAAAUAUGCAGAAUAAGACAAAAUAAUCAUGAAUGACAUAUACAACCAAGCAAAUAUGACCUUAUUUGUAUGAGAUAUUGUUUGGGAUAUGAAAAUGUCAAUAUACCUAAAUGAAGCCAGCCAAUUGUCCUGAAUUAUGUGGUUUGAAGAUGGUGAGAAGUCAGUGGGAGUAUGGCACAAUCUGUGUUGAUGGAACACUUUCUGGAAAAAGCUCCUAAUUGGGAGCUGAGGUGGCUCUUUACCACAUCUGUGUGACAAGCUCAACUCCCCAGUGGGAAUCUCCACUCUUGAGCUCAGGAUGAGUGAUUGGGGCUUGACUGAAUGAAUUUAAUGAGUUUCAUUCACUUCCUCCACAGGCAAUACCAGAGUCUGAGGUAGAGGUAAGAAGUGGGCAGAGGAAACUCCAUAUAGACCAGACUUAGGUCCCUGAGAGUGUUCUCCAAAAUAGGAUGAUGCACUGAAUCACAGCCACCGCCUUAGCAUAUGCCCAGACAGCUGCCUAGGCUACAGAGCCAGCUUCUGUCCCAGGCUAAAAUGGAGAUGGCUUUCCAAGAGUUUAGCAAAAUCCCCUGCAUGGCAUCCCAAAAGGCCAAAGGCCUCUAGUAUCUUCUUUCCAACAGCAGGUUGAGGUCAGUAAGUAUAGGAGUAGCCUGUCAAUGUUAUGCUCUGCUCAGAGUUCAUUUUUCCCCCCAACUCCCCAAUGUCAUGGGAUAGGCCCAAGUAUAUAGUGGAGACACAAUAAUACAACAUUUGUUCAGUUGUUUUCAGUUGUGACUGACUCU